rnacentral:rRNA from 1 species
UACGUAGGUGGCAAGCGUUGUCCGGAAUUAUUGGGCGUAAAGCGCGCGCAGGCGGUCCUUUAAGUCUGAUGUGAAAGCCCACGGCUCAACCGUGGAGGGUCAUUGGAAACUGGGGGACUUGAGUACAGAAGAGAAGAGUGGAAUUCCACGUGUAGCGGUGAAAUGCGUAGAUAUCGGGAGGAACACCGGUGGCGAAGGCGGCUCUCUGGACCACUACUGACGCUGAGGCGCGAAAGCUAGGGGAGCAAACAGG